rnacentral:rRNA from 1 species
AUGGUAUAAAGAGUUCGCAUGUUCUCUUUAUUAAAGAAUUUCGGUAAGCGAGUGGGGAUGCGUUCCAUUAGAUUGUUGGCGGGGUAACGGCCCACCAAGUCUACGAUGGAUAGGGGUUCUGAGAGGAAGGUCCCCCACAUUGGAACUGAGACACGGUCCAAACUCCUACGGGAGGCAGCAGUGAGGAAUAUUGGUCAAUGGGCGAGAGCCUGAACCAGCCAAGUAGCGUGAAGGAUGACUGCCCUAUGGGUUGUAAACUUCUUUUAUAAGGGAAUAAAGUGAGGGACGUGUCCCUUUUGUAUGUACCUUAUGAAUAAGGAUCGGCUAACUCCGUG